UUUCAGUGUUCACAUGUUCUGAAGAGCAUUCUGUUGAAAAAUCUUAUAUGUGAAUUGGUCUGCAGAUGACACUUCAGCAUUAAAACAAAAGAUAUCAAGUUUUAAUGAAAAAGAAAGGAAGAAGGAAAAAUGGACCAAAACAGACCUUCAAAUGAACUCUAAAAGUGUUCACAUGUUCUGAAGAGCAUUCUGUUGAAAAAUCUUAUAUGUGAAUUGGUCUGCAGAUGACACUUCAGCAUUAAA